UGAUGCCUAUCAAUUUUAUGUAGUAUUUUGUCUCUAGCAGCUUCUCAGUAAAUAUUUGCUGGUUAAUAAUUAGUCUACUAUGUUUGUAGACAGUUGUAUUUUACUUUGUCCAGGAUAUGUAGUCAGGAGUUUAGAGUUGAUGGCUAAAAUUUUUCGAUGUUUCAGGUCAAGAAUAAAAUUGUUGGAGAGAGGGCUAUAGGUAAAUGGUAAGGUACACACAGGGUUUUUUUUUAUUCACUUAAAAAUAUAUUUGAGUUAAUCAAAGAAACUUCAGAUCUAUUAAACAAAUCCUUUCUUAUUUUAUAACUAAUUUAAGGCUCAUCAAGGUUGACUUGCCCCAUUCAAAUCAAAGAAUUGAUCAGAGAUAAAACAGGGCUGUAAUCUACCUCCUUUAACUCGAAGGCAGAGGAAAGUCAUCCUAUUCAACCAUGGUAAUUGUAAACUAGUUAGAGUGUAAUUGAAAACUCAGCUACUUAAUUUUUAUGUUUCAUGAUGGUCUCCUAGGAGCCAAUAGAACAUCAGCACAAGAGUUAGGCAAUUUCUUUCUUUUGGCCAAAUAUUUAUGUUCAAAGUUCUUUAUGUUCAUUAUAAUAUUAAGUAAAGAAUAAACAGUGCCAUGGUUACCAUGGAGUUAGACUAAAAUUUCAACAUAUGCUCUUGGAGGGGAUUGACCCAACCACUUCAGAUGUAACUCCAAGGUAAAGAUUGCGGUAAGGAUGACUCCUCUCAAGAAGUAAGCUUUUGUGAACUUUGGGCAUCAAAGUUGCAAAGUCAUCUCAUACAUUUAUUUAUUUUGGGCUAAACGAAAAUAUUGUAUGAUUAGACUGGCUGAUACCAUGGAGGUAAAAGAAACAGUCUUAAAUUUUUUCCUAUUUUUUCAUUCUUUUCUCCUCCUCUUUCUUCUUUGAUACAGAGUGUACAAAACUACUUUUAUGGCAACUUUUGGGUAAAUUUUGUUCUUCUCAUUUAAACAUGAAUCAUCCAAAGAAAUAUUAUUUGGAAACAUUUUGGAAUAAUACUAACACAACAUGGUUUCAAGAAUGAUAGAAUGCACUUGAUGCUGAGUCAUUUAAGAUUGGUAUCUUUUAUGUAGUUAAAAGAGUUUUGUGAUGAAAGUGAAAUUUUAGAAUUCUUUUAAGUUUAAUAGGUAGAUGGGACAUGGAUUUUUUUGAGGAAUUACUAAGCAAAUUUUUGGCAGACACCUGAGAUACUGUGACUAAAGUCGUUUAUAAUGUUCUCCACUCCUCUUAACCUCUGUACUCUAGAAGAAACACUGUGGGCUGAAUAUGGUAGCCAGCCUCCAAUGGCCCCCAAUGACUCUUUCUUCUAAUAUUUAUGAUCUGGUAUAAUUCUCUCCAUGCUGAAUCAUUCAGGGCUCACCCAGGUGUCCAAUAUAAUAUGGUAGAAGUGACAGUGUGAGACAUUUAAGGCUAGGUCAUAAUGUUAUUACAACUUUCGCCUUAAUAUCUUGGAUCUCUUAUUCUGCCAGAGUUCAGCCAUUCAUGGUAGGAAAACUCAACCACUCCCAAGGAGAGGGAUCAAUCUGCCAGUCAUUUGCAUGAACUUUAAAAUGGAUUAAUCAAUAAGAUUGAGUUUUCAAAUGGCCCUAGCCCCUACUAACAUCUGACUACAACCUCAUGAGAGAUUAUGAAUCAGAACUACUCAAGUUAGUUGCUCUUGAAUUCCUGGCCUAUAGAAACUCUAAGUGAUAACUAAUGCUUAUUGUUUAUUUUAAGACAUUUAAUUUUGUAAUGAUUUGGUUCACAG
rnacentral:lncRNA from 1 species